UUCAUAAUCUUUUAUUACCUUUCACUGAGAAACAAUUUAUACUACUAAACAAGAUAUCAGUUAUGAUGCUCAAGAUUUUAAGUGCCUUUUGAACUAAAAACAAACAAAAAAAUUGUGACCUGCAUAUAAUGUAAAUGGUUUAUCUUCAAGUCAAAAGCCACAGGUUUACCUCUGCAGCUUUACUCUUUCCUAAACAUUGCUUUCGUGUAUUGCUUAUGCAUGCUUUCUGCGUCCCAAAAAGUAUGUAGAGAAUAACAGUUUAAGUCCUCCAGAGGAGUUACUACCUCUACUACAUGUUUCAUUCUCAUUACAUGUUGCAUUGCUUAUUAAUAUCUGUGUUUUGUAGUGGACUUCAUGAGGACAGGUAAUGUUACCAACUGAAUUGUGUACCCCCAAAAUUCACAUGUUGAAACCCUAAUCCCCAAUGUGACUGUAUUUGAAGUAGGGCCUACAGCAGGUAAUUAAGGUUAAAUGAGGUCAUAAGUGUGGGGCCCUGAAUCGAUGAGAUUAGUGUCCUUAUAAGAAGAAACAGCAGAGACCUUGUUCUCUCCACCAUAUGAGGACACAGUGAGAAUGUAGCCAUCUGUGAGCAGGAAGGGAGGCCUCACCAGGAUCCAAAUGAGCCAGAACCUUAAUCUUGGACUUCUCACCCUGCAGAACUGUGAGAAAAUAAAUUUCUGUUGUUUAAGCC
rnacentral:lncRNA from 1 species